UAAAAAAUGUUAAGUAGAUUUCUCAUAACAUGAACUGAAUGUGGAUAAGUUGUCAAUCCAAUCAUGUGAACUCCUUGUUACAGGAAGCAGCAGCCACUGAAGUCGACGAUUUUUUCAAAGAAAAGUCAAUUUAUAUUAUAAAUUUCAGAUGAAGAGAUAAGAUCCACUUUCACAUCUUUGGAUUUUGUCGCUGGCCUACCUCGGUUGAUAUUUUCCAAAAUGGCAAAAUCCAAGGCAAGGACGCCUGGAGUAUCCCCACAUGCAGUGGUGAUUUGAUCCACUUUCAUAUCGUCGGUGGUGUUUGAGUAUAAGAGUAGGUUGGACAGAACUGGUUAUGUCCUGGAAGUUUUUUUUAUUUGGCGCAUAAACUCGGGAUCGGGCAUAAAUUUGGCGCAGUAGUUAGUAAUACAAGAAAGAUGUGCAUAGUAGCUUUACUACAAGAAUAUGGAGUAUCGGUAGCGUUCAAAAAACGCUAUUUAAUUAUACUAUAACGUUAUUAGAAACGCUCUAUCAUCGUCCGUCAUAAAAGCAUCUCCAAUCUUUGAAACUUCUACACAUACCUUGCUCGCAUUUGGACUUAGGGGCAUAUGAUGGACUGUAUCUGAAGGGUUAGAGAUUUGAUGGUGCUAGCAGUACUGUUACUUAAGCUCUACAAGAAUCAAAAAUAAUACCAAGCAUUCAGGCGAUGGUCUUUUCUAGGCUGUAAGUUAAAGUGCAGAAAUUUACCAGUGGAGGUGAUGGUCUUUUAUCUGGUGAUGUUGUUUCAUACAGUGGAGGAGAUGAAUUCACAUAUUGUAUACUAUGAAGUGGCCAUGCAAUGUUCUCAUUUAGUACAUCUCCCAUAACAAACUUUCCUAGACUUGGUCUCCACAAAUAUGCGGCUUUGUUAAACACCUUUUCAACCUUAACAAUUGCAGCAGAAGGACCAAGAGGCAUAUUGUUCACAAGUUCUUUUCAGUCUGUUGAACACAAUCGACCCUCACCAACCACAGAAUCAGCCAUAUUCCAAUCAAUUAUGAUGAUUUUAACGGUUGAUGAAUCUUUAGCCUAAAGCAUGAUGCAUAAAUA
rnacentral:misc_RNA from 1 species